rnacentral:lncRNA from 1 species
UCAGCUGUUACAGGGUGUUAUCAAUUAUCUCUGGUAAAUUGGCAGGUCUGAGCUCAGAUCAGCAAGGCAGAGAAACUCCAGAUGGCAAAUUAUCCCAACUCUUCUAACUCGUAAAAGCAUUAAUAAAUUACCCCAGGGCUGAACGCACGCUGCUUUAGCUCCUUGCCUCGUUCCUUCCUCCCGGGCGCGACGCGAGGUGAAAAUGAUGCGCACGUAGAUUUGUAGAGCGUAUUCUUGAGAAUUUCCCUGGGAUGAAUCGGGAGGAGCGGUGGAGACUCCGGAGACAGGUGCCGCGCUGGUCUGGGCUGCCGGCUAAAAGUUGUCCUCCGCGCGGUGGGCGGUGGGGUCCCCGGCCAGGGCCAAGGACCCCGGCUCCCUGCCCCCCGGCGUCGCCCACUUGUCACGCCAGGCUGCUGCGUGCACUCGGCUGCAGGGGAGGUGGCGUAGUUUCUCUUCCUCCCACCUCUUCUCACUCACUUGUUUUUGUAGCCGUGGGCUCCCCUAAUGCUUUCCUCUCCACAAUGUUGUUUCAUUAUAUCAUGUCCAUCAUGUGACACCAGAGAGGCCUCUCUAUGGAAACUUAAAGGGGCUCCCACGUGACUGCAGCAGCAACAACAGCAGCAGGACUGGCGGCGG